rnacentral:rRNA from 1 species
UACGAAGGAGGCUAGCGUUGUUCGGAAUUACUGGGCGUAAAGCGUGCGCAGGCGGUUUUUCAAGUCAGAGGUGAAAGCCCCGGGCUCAACCCGGGAAUGGCCUUUGAGACUGGAAAGCUAGAGUGUGAGAGAGGUGAGUGGAAUUCCCAGUGUAGAGGUGAAAUUCGUAGAUAUUGGGAAGAACACCCGUGGCGAAGGCGGCUCACUGGCUCGCAACUGACGCUCGGGCACGACAGCGUGGGGAGCAAACAGG